UACAGAGGGUGCGAGCGUUAAUCGGAAUUACUGGGCGUAAAGGGCGCGUAGGCGGUAAAACAUGUGUGAUGUGAAAGCCCCGGGCUUAACCUGGGAAGUGCAUCGCAAACUGUUUUACUGGAGUAUAUGAGAGGGUGGCGGAAUUUCCGGUGUAGCGGUGAAAUGCGUAGAGAUCGGAAGGAACGUCGAUGGCGAAGGCAGCCACCUGGCAUAAUACUGACGCUGAGGCGCGAAAGCGUGGGGAGCGAACAGG
rnacentral:rRNA from 1 species